UGAUAACCACUCGCAUUUGAUCUGAAGGCGUUCAAACACACAGUCUAUCUUUGUACCUCCAAUAAGAAAACCAUCUGUUGUUGCUGAGCGAUCGUUCAUUACAAUGUAUUUCCUACUGCAGGAAUAUCUCACCAGCUGAAUUCCUGGACACCAUGGGUGCCUGUAGAUAAACUCCUGUAGGGCCUCCAGCCCCAGUCCAGACAUAACUGAUCAUGACACAGAGCCUUGGAGACGGAGUGAGGGAUAGGAGGUGAAGCCAUGUCGGGUAGACAUGGCCCUUCCACAAGGCCUGGCCAAUAAGAGCUCCGAUAUCUGGGAGGGCCAAGCGGGGGGAGGAGGGAUCGGGAGAUGUGGAGAUAGAGUGAUGAGUGUGUUUAGAACAGCAGCGGAGGCCAGGCUUCCUUUUGUUCUAAGUCUGAUGAGGAGGGGAACCCUGCUAGGCUGCUAUGAGCGCUCAUCAUCGCCCUGCGCAGCCCCACAGCCCUGCCAAGCUGUCGACAGCACAUUUCUCACAGACUGGGGGGUGUGAUUGACAGGGAAAGGAGUAAGGAGAGCAGCUUUUGGUACAGAGAGAUCUUUAUCGUUCUGUAAGGCAGAUGUACCACAGUGUUCUGCUAAGGACCCAGGGACUGAACGUUGGGUGAGAGUAGAACACAGAAUGUACAGUAGAGACGCUUCUAGAACUGGUGUGUGUUGUGGUGUCAACCUAGACUUGACCUUUUGUUGCAGAUACACACACACACACACACAGAUAGAAUCACAAAUAACAGCAUUGGCCAUAAAAAGUCUUCUUUAGAAUUACACUGUUGAGUUUGUUGUUUCAUGGUCACCUUGGGUUGUGCUCAUGAAUCUCUGUAAAUUGUGGUACGUAAGAUAAAAUAUCAAUAUUUCUUGUGCAAGUGCAGGCAGUCAAUGUCAAAGGCGUUUUUUCAAGUUCUGCAUCAACAAAGCAAUUUGUUUCCCUUGAGUAUACUAAUUUCUGGAUUUCACAGUGGCAGGUGUUAUGGCUGCCAGUCAUUAUAUGAAAAUCAGCAAAAUCCUAACCAUGGUGCUUAUCCUCCUGACAAAAUGGGACGGAUUCCUUCUGCCUGAUUUGACAACCUGGUCUCAGAGCAUUUUGUAUUAUUCUGUAUGUAAAUCCAAGACACUCUAUUUAGUAUGAUAUGUUACGUUUCAUAUGGCACAGUAUGUAUUAAUUUGUGGAUGUCCAUGACCCAUUUCAUAUGAUAUGUUACGAAUAACCAUUUUUAUUACAUGUUAUGCAUUUGCAAAACAUACAAUAUGUUACGCAUUCGCAAAAAAAUGGAGCAUCCCAAAUGUACAUUGUGUGUUAAAUCUAGUCUAUGAGACUGGGCUGAAUUUGAGGGAGGGCAGGCAGAAGACAGGUUAACUUUCUGAUUUGAGGGAGGGCAGGCAGAAG